rnacentral:rRNA from 1 species
AGAGUUUGAUCCUGGCUCAGGAUGAACGCUAGCGGCAGGCCUAACACAUGCAAGUCGAACGGUAACAGAUCUCGCUUGCGAGAUGCUGACGAGUGGCGCACGGGUGCGUAACGCGUAUGCAAUCUACCUUUAACUGAGGAAUAGCCCAGAGAAAUUUGGAUUAAUACCUCAUAGUAUUAUUUAUAGGCAUCUAUUUAUAAUUAAAACUCCGGUGGUUAAAGAUGAGCAUGCGUCCUAUUAGCUAGUUGGUAAGGUAAAAGCUUACCAAGGCUACGAUAGGUAGGGGGCCUGAGAGGGUGACCCCCCACACUGGUACUGAGACACGGACCAGACUCCUACGGGAGGCAGCAGUGAGGAAUAUUGCGCAAUGGAGGAAACUCUGACGCAGCCAUGCCGCGUGCAGGAUGAAUGCCCUAUGGGUUGUAAACUGCUUUUCUGCAAGAAGAAACCUUAGUACGUGUACUAAGCUGACGGUAUUGCAGGAAUAAGCACCGGCUAACUCCGUGCCAGCAGCCGCGGUAAUACGGAGGGUGCAAGCGUUAUCCGGAUUUAUUGGGUUUAAAGGGUCCGCAGGCGGAACUUUAAGUCAGUGGUGAAAGCCUACAGCUUAACUGUAGAACUGCCAUUGAUACUGAAGUUCUUGAGUGUGGUUGAAGUGGGCGGAAUAUGUCAUGUA